rnacentral:lncRNA from 1 species
GUAAGAAAGACAUCAAGGCCCUGGAGCAUGUCCAGAGGAGGGCAACAAAGCUGGUGAGGGGUCUGGAGCACAGGCCUUAUGAGGAGCGGCUGAAGGAGCUGGGAUUGUUCAGCUCAGGGGAGACCUUAUUGCUCUCUAUAACUACCUGAAGGGAGGUUGUAGUGAGCUGGGGGUCAGCCUCUUCUCUCAUGUGACUAGUGAUAGGACUAGAAGGAAGGGCUUCAAGCUGCACCAGGGAAGAUUCAGGCUGGACGUUAGGAAAUACUACUUCUCUGAAA